rnacentral:misc_RNA from 1 species
AAAUAUCGAGCACUGUGAGCGUGAGCUGAACGGCGAACGGAGAAAAAUCGCCGACAAUGAGUGCAGGCGCCGGUGGAGGAGGAGAACGGAGCUCGCCUGCACCUAAACCCUCAAAGUUCGCUGUGUAUCAGAAUCCAGCCUUUUCUGCUGCCCUAACAACGAGCAGUCUUCGUCCUUCCAAGUCCACUUUCGUUUCCAUAUUCAUUAUUUCCAUUGCUUCUGUAUCUACUCUUCUCAGGAGUUUUUCUAGGGAAAGCGGGAUUGCCGACAGUCUGAAAUUCAGAUAUGUUUCUCAAGAAACUGCUUGUCUUAUUGUCAGACUCAUACAGACUUUUGCAGCCAUAGUCUUAUUUGGAACCUUUCUUGCCCUUGUCAAGGCUAUUUAUUUAUGUAGAACAAAGACUGCUGAUGUGUCAAUUACGUCUCCUACCAAAGGAACAAAGGAGAAUACACGUCUGACUAAUCGACAAUUAGGGCUUUUGGGGAUUAAAACAAAUGUUGAGCAAACUGCUAUGGAGUCUUCGACAAGACCUCCCAAAUCAAGAGUUGUCUCAGCCUCUCCUUCAAAUGUCCUAGUCCCCAUUCAUCAGCCAAUUUCUAGUUCAAAACCUUCAACUAGACUUAGUAGUGACAAAGUUAGAACUGGUAGUGGAACUAAAAUACCAUCUUUUGGCACCCCAUCAAAAUCACCAGCUUCCCCAUCCUUAUAUCUUGUUUCAGCAUCUCCUUCUCAAUCACCUUCAAUCCAGUCUUCACCAGGUGGGGAAUUGGUUGCCACCCCUUGGUCGAACAAGAGAGCUACUUUCCAAAAAGAGAUUGCAACGGAGGAACAGCUUGAAAGGUUCCUGGCUGAUGUUGAUGAGAGAAUUACUGAAUCAGCAAGCAAGUUGGCAACUCCACCGCCCACCAUAAGUGGGUUUGGUGUAGUCAGUCCUAGUAACCUGCCCAGCUCCACCAAUACUUCUGGAACUCCAAGAAGUACUCCUCUAAGGCCGGUUAGGAUGUCCCCUGGUUCCCAGAAGUUCUCAACUCCACCAAAGAGAGGGGAAGGUGAUCUACCACCUCCAAUGUCAAUGGAAGAGUCCACUGAAGCAUUUGGAAAUCUGGGGAUAUAUCCACAGAUCGAGCAGUGGCGUGACCGACUCAGGCAAUGGUUUUCAUCCAUGCUGUUAAAGCCUUUGCUUAACAAAAUUGAUACUAGUCACACAAAGGUUAUGCAAGCUGCUGGCAAGCUAGGCAUUACAAUCACAGUUAGUCAAGUUGGAAAUGGAACACCUGAUACUGGGACUGCUGCUAUAUCUGCUACUGAGAGGACUAAUGAAUGGAAACCCUCAUUUUCUGUUGACGAAGACGGGUUACUUCACCAGUUGCGCAUUACUCUUGUCCAGGCUCUUGAUUCUUGCAUGUCAAAGUCAGCUUCUGGAGGUCUUCAACCAUCCUUGCCAGAGAACUCUCUGAUCCCUAUUUUACAAGAAUGCAUUGAUGCCAUCACUGAACACCAAAGACUUCAGUCCUUAAUGAAAGGAGAAUGGGGCAAAGGACUGCUGCCACAAAGCAGUGUCCGUGCAGAAUAUACAGUACAGAGGAUUCGAGAGCUUUCCGAGGGAACCUGUUUGAGGAAUUAUGAUUAUUUGGGCAGUGUAGAGGUUUAUGGAAAAGGAAACAAGAAAUGGAAUCCCGAGCUUCCAACCGAUUCUCAUUUGCUCCUAUAUUUGUUCUGUGCUUUCCUGGAGCACCCAAAG